rnacentral:rRNA from 1 species
AGCGAACGCUGGCGGCAGGCUUAACACAUGCAAGUCGAACGAUCCUUCGGGAUAGUGGCGGACGGGUGAGUAACACGUGGGAACGUGCCUUUAGGUUCGGAACAACACAGGGAAACUUGUGCUAAUACCGGAUAAGCCCUUCGGGGGAAGGAUUAUCGCCUUUAGAGCGGCCCGCGUCUGAUUAGCUUGUUGGUGGGGUAAAGGGCCUACCAAGGCGACGAUCAGUAGCUGGUCUGAGAGGANGGCCAGCCACAUUGGGACUGAGAC